rnacentral:rRNA from 1 species
UACGUAGGGUGCGAGCGUUAAUCGGAAUUACUGGGCGUAAAGCGUGCGCAGGCGGUUCGUUAAGUUCGUCGUGAAAGCCCCGGGCUCAACCUGGGAAUGGCGAUGGAAACUGGCGGGCUGGAGUGCGGCAGAGGGGGGUGGAAUUCCACGUGUAGCAGUGAAAUGCGUAGAGAUGUGGAGGAACACCGAUGGCGAAGGCAGCGCGCUGGGCCGACACUGACGCUCAGGCACGAAAGCGUGGGGAGCAAACAGG